rnacentral:rRNA from 1 species
GAUGAACGCUAGCGACAGGCUUAACACAUGCAAGUCGAGGGGCAGCACGGUGUAGCAAUACAUUGGUGGCGACCGGCGCACGGGUGAGUAACGCGUAUGCAACCUACCUAUCAGAGGGGAAUAACCCGGCGAAAGUCGGACUAAUACCGCAUAAAACAGGGGUUCCACAUGGAAAUAUUUGUGAAAGAUUUAUCGCUGAUAGAUGGGCAUGCGUUCCAUUAGCUAGUUGGUGAGGUAACGGCUCACCAAGUCUACGAUGGAUAGGGGUUCUGAGAGGAAGGCCCCCCACACUGGUACUGAGACACGGACCAGACUCCUACGGGAGGCAGCAGUGAGGAAUAUUGGUCAAUGGGCGAGAGCCUGAACCAGCCAAGUCGCGUGAAGGAUGAAUGAUCUAUGGUUUGUAAACUUCUUUUAUAUGGGAAUAAAGUGAGGAACGUGUUCCUUUUUGUAUGUACCAUAUGAAUAAGCAUCGGCUAACUCCGUGCCAGCAGCCGCCGUAA